rnacentral:rRNA from 1 species
GAAAUGACUCUCGGCAACGGAUAUCUCGGCUCUCGCAUCGAUGAAAAACGUACCGAAAUGCGAUACUUGGUGUGAAUUGCAAAAUCCCGUGAACCAUCGAGUCUUUGAACGCAAGUUGCGCCCGAGGCCACUAGGCCGAGGGCACGCCUGCCUGGGUGUCACGC